rnacentral:misc_RNA from 1 species
CGGGCAGUGGGGCCCUCGCUU